rnacentral:rRNA from 1 species
UACGGGGGGGGCAAGCGUUGUUCGGAAUUACUGGGCGUAAAGGGCUCGUAGGUGGCCAACUAAGUCAGACGUGAAAUCCCUCGGCUCAACUGAGGAACUGCCUUUGAAACUGUACGGCUUGAGGCCGGGAGGGGGUAGCGGAAUUCCCAGUGUAGCGGUGAAAUGCGUAGAUACUGGGAGGAACACCAGUGGCGAAGGCGGCUACCUGGACCGGUUCUGACGCUGAGGCGCGAAAGCGUGGGUAGCAAACAGG